rnacentral:lncRNA from 1 species
CAGGCCUGAGCUCCGGAUAUUUCUCCUGUUCUGGAGACAGUGAGAAGUGAAAGAGAAAUGGCUGCCCCUGCACCACUUACCGCGAAGGAGGCUCAAGGCUGGGGGGCCCCUCUGCCUUCCAGUGACCGCCCGUGUCACAUCCUGACCCGCUCAGCAGGAGAACACAGCAGGUCCCUCCGACCGCAGUCGGCCUCUCCAGCCUGCCAUGCCUCUGGCCAUGAGGCGACCCGCUGGAGUGAUGGAUUCCCGUCACUACCACCCACAGGGCGAGGGGGUGCAUUGGUCUGCUUGGGCCGCUGUAACAAAAUGCCACAGCCUGGAUGAGUGACUGACAUUGCUUCCCCACCGUUCUGGAGGCUGGAGGCCCGAGAUCGAGGUCCCUGACACUAUUUCAGUGAUGCCAGAGCCCAGGAGGAGUCGACCAAGCCCCAGCGUGGCCAUAAGCACCUUCGCAGGACCACGGAGUCGCUGCAGGUGUUCAGCCCUGUUGAGAGUGGGAGUCGGUGUCGAUGGUCACAGCUCAGUAACUCAUCGUCACCAGCGAGUACCACAGAGCAGACACAACUGCACUUCUCUGUAGAGCCUCCAGUCGAUACUGAGAGCCACUGGGGCGUCUGACACCCAAGGGUGCAGACAUUCACUCCAAGUCCAGAGACCGCGCCCUUUCUAAGGCCCUGUCUCACAGUCGCCCCGUGCUCAUUGUGCCGGAUGUUUCCACAGCCACAGAGACGGUGAGGUGCAGCCUAGUGCAUAUGACUGACAGAAACGUGAAGCCACAGUGGACGCCUGGAUGAGACACAGAUCACCUUCCAAAUCUGAGUGUGGCCUUGGGACCAACCAGGCAGCCAGGGAGAAGGCAGAGACCAGAGGGAACCCAGGUGCCCUCAAUCCCAGCCUCCUCUAUCCCAGCCUCCCAAUCCCAGCCUCCCCAAUCCCAGCCUCCUAAUCCCAGCCUCCUCCAUCCCAGGACCCCCACUCCCAGCCUCCCGAUCCCAGCUUCUCUGAUCCCAGCCUCCCCUAAAACCCAGACUCUAUGAAUCCCAGCCUCUGAGGUGGGAACUGUUAGUAACCCCACUCCAUGGACAAGAAAGCUGGGGCCUGGCGAGGCUAACAGACUAUCCUGAUGGUGUGAGGGAGGGAUCGGCCUCUGAGGGCUGCUUCCACCCAUCUCACCAGUGGCUGCAGGCUCCAGGCGCCACUUUCCUUGAGUCUAUGUUCUUUCCAAGCAUCCUGCAGCUCCAGAAGCUCUGGAGCCGCCAGCACUGAGAGAAGCGAUGGAGCUGCAUGCAGGGUGAGUGUAGGACCGGGCGGAGCUGCUCUGUGGCUGGCGGGCACAUUCUUUGUCAACAUGAGCAUCUCUCACUGUUCCUAGACCCCCUGGCUCCCCAGCUUCCUUGGAGCCAGGCGUGGCCACAGGAAAAUGUUUAGGUCAAUGACAGGUGAGCAAAAGUGUGAAUACAACCUCCAGGAGUUUUCUUAAAGGAAGGGACAGGCCCUUCCCCUCCUCAUGUCUCCUUCUGGCUGCCUGGAAGGCACAUGUGAGGGCUGGAGCCUGAGCAGCCACCUUGGGCCAUCAGGAGGAAGCCUGUGCUGCAAUGGUAACUCAGUGACUUGGCGAGACUCACAGAGCCUGCAUUCCCGACACCUGGUGCCCUAUACCAGCCCCGGGCAUAUUCUUAGUGUGGGAGAAAAAUCAGCUUUGGUCUAGCUUAAGACUCUGGGUGGGGCACGGAAUGGGAUAGAAUGGGGAGUCCGGUUCCCCCAGCUGAGCCAGGUGACCAUUCCUCAGGAAACUUUGUUGACAGCGGUGUCUGGAUGGACCAGCAGAGGGCACUCUCACCCACGGGGAAAAUCGUGCGCCCGGCCUCGUCCACCGCCAGAAGACGCCGCUACACAGUGAGUCAUUCCACAAAUCCCUGCUCUCACGGGAUCUCUGGAGAUAAAGGCAGUUGAGAAUCGACAAAUAGGACUGUUUCUCCGUUUAUGAAAUUUGAGCUGCCCUUAGACUUCACGGCAGAGAAUAUAGAGACAGUAAACCCUGGGGUUGAAGAUGGGACCACGAACCUGGGGCCACCUUCUAGGGACGGGUGCUUCGUGUGGGGCAUCCCGGGGAGGGGGUGCCCUGGAGCCUGAGUCAGUGCCAGGCACCUUGAGUCUAACGCUCUCAGUGCAGUUGCCUCCUUUGAAAAAUAAAAGGCUUGGACAAAAUAAGCU